rnacentral:rRNA from 1 species
CCUAAGGUAGCGAAAUUCCUUGUCGGGUAAGUUCCGACCCGCACGAAAGGCGUAACGAUUUGGGCACUGUCUCAACGAGAGACUCGGUGAAAUCAUAGUACCUGUGAAGAUGCAGGUUACCCGCGACAGGACGGAAAGACCCCGUGGAGCUUUACUGUAGCCUGAUAUUGAAAUUCGGCACAGCUUGUACAGGAUAGGUAGGAGCCUUUGAAACGUGAGCGCUAGCUUACGUGGAGGCGCUGGUGGGAUACUACCCUAGCUGUGUUGGCUUUCUAACCCGCACCACUUAUCGUGGUGGGAGACAGUGUCAAGCGGGCAGUUUGACUGGGGCGGUCGCCUCCUAAAAGGUAACGGAGGCGCUCAAAGGUUCCCUCAGAAUGGUUGGAAA